UCCCAGACUCCUACGGGAGGCAGCAGUGGGGAAUAUUGCACAAUGGGCGAAAGCCUGAUGCAGCAACGCCGCGUGAAGGAAGAAGGGUUUCGGCUCGUAAACUUCUAUCAACAGGGACGAAAGAAAUGACGGUACCUGAAUAAGAAGCCCCGGCUAACUACGUGCCAGCAGCCGCGGUAAUACGUAGGGGGCAAGCGUUAUCCGGAUUUACUGGGUGUAAAGGGCGUGUAGGCGGGUCUGCAAGUCAGAUGUGAAAUCUCAUGGCUCAACCAUGGAACUGCAUUUGAAACUGUAGAUCUUGAGUGAUGGAGAGGCAGGCGGAAUUCCGUGUGUAGCGGUGAAAUGCGUAGAUAUACGGAGGAACACCAGUGGCGAAGGCGGCCUGCUGGACAUUAACUGACGCUGAGGCGCGAAAGCGUGGGGAGCAAACAGGAUUAGAUACCCUUGUA
rnacentral:rRNA from 1 species